UUCCUUUUGUAGUUCAUAGGCAUGAUGAUUGGAUUUUCACGCACCUGUCUGAGAUGUGCCUCCUUCGAACUUGUCACAAUAUCGGCACAUUACCCGUAUGAUG